rnacentral:rRNA from 1 species
UAGGGAAUCUUCCACAAUGGACGCAAGUCUGAUGGAGCAACGCCGCGUGAGUGAAGAAGGUCUUCGGAUCGUAAAGCUCUGUUGUUGGUGAAGAAGGAUAGAGGCAGUAAAUGGUCUUUAUUUGACGGUAAUCAACCAGAAAGUCACGGCUAACUACGUGCCAGCAGCCGCGGUAAUACGUAGGUGGCAAGCGUUGUCCGGAUUUAUUGGGCGUAAAGCGAGCGCAGGCGGAAUGAUAAGUCUGACGUGAAAGCCCACGGCUCAACCGUGGAACUGCAUCGGAAACUGUCAUUCUUGAGUGCAGAAGAGGAGAGUGGAACUCCAUGUGUAGCGGUGGAAUGCGUAGAUAUAUGGAAGAACACCAGUGGCGAAGGCGGCUCUCUGGUCUGCAACUGACGCUGAGGCUCGAAAGCAUGGGUAGCGAACAGGAUUAGAUACCCUGGUAGUCCAUGCCGUAAACGAUGAGCGCUAGGUGUUG